CACCAGGUUGAUUCUGCCUGACGUAGAUGCUAGUCUCUAAGAUUAAGCCAUGCAUGUUUAUGUAAUAAGGACGAACAGCUCAGUAGAACUACGAUUAUUUAGUCUGUUUGAUAAAGAUAACUACGUGAAAAUGUAGCUAAGAGAGAACAGAAUAAGACGUAGGACUAUCAGUUAGUUGGUAGUGUAAUGGACUACCAAGACGAUGACGGGUAACGGGGAAUCAGGGUUUGAUACCGGAGAGGGAGCCUGAGAGAUAGCUCCCACGUCCAUGGACGGCAGCAGGCGCGAAAAUUGCCCGCCCUUUGUAGGAGGCAGUUAUGAGACGUGAAGUAGAAUAUUUCGUAAAGACGAAUAGGAGAAUUGGAGGGCAAGUUUGGUGCCAGCAGCCGCGG
rnacentral:rRNA from 1 species